ensembl:lncRNA
GCCUUACUUUUUCCUGUCUCUUCUCCUCUCUGGGGCAGCCCCCCAGCCCCGGGGCCGGCGCGCCGGGCCCCCCACCCUGCCCUCAGCGCCCUACGACCACAGCCGGCGGCCGGCAUUCCGGGGCGGCGGGUCCGCAACUUCGCGCCCGGGCGCCAGCGCCUCGCAGCCCGGCGGGCGGGAGACAAAAGCUGCGGCGCCGCCGGAGGCCGCGCGGCCAAGCAAGCAAUCGGUGUGCAGGAACACCCCUGUGCCGUGAUGCCGGCUGGGCACCAGGAAUAUCAAGGGAGAAGAUUCAGAUGAGACAGUCGUGUUAAAAAAAUAGAACUCCAACUGUGUGAGAAGUGCUAUAACAAGGCCAACCCCACAGGCUGCCCACAUUUUACUUCUAGUCACAGUCUGUUGCAACCUACCCUGCAUGCUAAAGACAACCCUGAAAUAAAGAGCAUCGUGAUGCCUUUCUGAACCAAAGGGGAUUCACAGAACCCACCUGAGAAGGCUGUCGUGAACAUGAAGUGAGACUAGAUGCGUGCAGAACAGCUACAGAAAAAUACACGAGACAAGGCGCAGACCCGUCUGAGAAGGAACAUCCAGCCGCUGGACACG